CAGCAGCCUCGGGAAUACAGAGGGUGCGAGCGUUAAUCGGAUUUACUGGGCGUAAAGCGUGCGUAGGCGGCUUCUUAAGUCGGAUGUGAAAUCCCUGAGCUUAACUUAGGAAUUGCAUUCGAUACUGGGAAGCUAGAGUAUGGGAGAGGAUGGUAGAAUUCCAGGUGUAGCGGUGAAAUGCGUAGAGAUCUGGAGGAAUACCGAUGGCGAAGGCAGCCAUCUGGCCUAAUACUGACGCUGAGGUACGAAAGCAUGGGGAGCAAACAGGAUUAGAUACCCCAGUAGUCCCUGUCUCUUAUAC
rnacentral:rRNA from 1 species